GACGAACGCUGGCGGCGUGCUUAACACAUGCAAGUCGAACGGAAAGGCCCUGCUUUUGUGGGGUGCUCGAGUGGCGAACGGGUGAGUAACACGUGAGUAACCUGCCCUUGACUUUGGGAUAACUUCAGGAAACUGGGGCUAAUACCGGAUAGGAGCUCCUGCUGCAUGGUGGGGGUUGGAAAGUUUCGGCGGUUGGGGAUGGACUCGCGGCUUAUCAGCUUGUUGGUGGGGUAGUGGCUUACCAAGGCUUUGACGGGUAGCCGGCCUGAGAGGGUGACCGGCCACAUUGGGACUGAGAUACGGCCCAGACUCCUACGGGAGGCAGCAGUGGGGAAUAUUGCACAAUGGGCGGAAACCUGAUGCAGCAACGCCGCGUGCGGGAUGACGGCCUUCGGGUUGUAAACCGCUUUCGCCUGUGACGAAGUGUGAGUGACGGUAAUGGGUAAAGAAGCACCGGCUAACUACGUG
rnacentral:rRNA from 1 species